GACGAACGCUGGCGGCGUGCUUAACACAUGCAAGUCGAACGGAAAGGCCCUGCUUUUGUGGGGUGCUCGAGUGGCGAACGGGUGAGUAACACGUGAGUAACCUGCCCUUGACUUUGGGAUAACUUCAGGAAACUGGGGCUAAUACCGGAUAGGAGCUCCUGCUGCAUGGUGGGGGUUGGAAAGUUUCGGCGGUUGGGGAUGGACUCGCGGCUUAUCAGCUUGUUGGUGGGGUAGUGGCUUACCAAGGCUUUGACGGGUAGCCGGCCUGAGAGGGUGACCGGGCCCACUGGGGGUGAGAGACGCGCCCGACUCCCCGCGGGGGGAGGGGGGGGGGGAAUUGCGCACAGGGGGGGGGACCUUAGGGGAACCGCCCCGUGCGGGAGGUGGGGGCUCGGGGUUUGAACCCCUUUUCCCCGUGACGAGGCGCGAGUGUGGGGAUUGGGGGAAAAAGCACCCGGUCACCCCGU
rnacentral:rRNA from 1 species